AUCUCUGAUACUGCUUAAUUCUCUAGCCUUCCAGGGAUUACAGCCUUCUGAGCAUCUUACUUUGUCUUGACUUCUGUAUGCAAAGUUUUGAAUUUUGCAAAGGAUUUGUAAAAGUAUAUAAAAAUAUUUCCGCUCGCUUCUGUGAGGAUUCUUUGAUGUCAGUUUUGUCUUUCAGAUCACAGCCACUUUGGAGGAUCUGAACUCCAAUUCUGUUUGCACACUAGAGGCCCUGUUGCUGUCUGCUAUGAUUCAACAGCCCUGUUCCCUAACUGUCCUCAGGGUGCUCAGUUUUCUUCUCUUGGAGAUUGAGUACCUCAGUUCUGGAGACUGGAAAAUCCAAAACCACGGCACCAGCAUCUGGUGAAGAUCUUUUCAUGGCAAGAGAGAAAACACAUGCAUGUCAGCUCAAAUCUCUUUCUCUUUUAAUAAUGUUGCUAGUCCCAUCAUGGAGGCCCCAGCCUUAUGACCUUAUCUAAUGCUAAUUACAUCCAAAAGGCUCCACCUCCAAUCAACAUAUGAAUUUGGAAAUUAGGUUUCCAAUACGUGAAAUUUGGGAAAUGUAUUUAAACCACAAACAGCCAGUUUAAAAGAUUUUGCAUUGAAUAAUAAAAGUG
rnacentral:lncRNA from 10 species